CAUGUCCAGAGAAGGGAACAGAGCUGGAGAAGGGGUGGGAGAGCAAGGGUGAUAAGAGGUGUCUGGGGGAACCAGAGUUGUUUAGGCUGGAGAAACGGAGGCUGAGGGAAGACCUCAUUGCUGUCUACAACUGCCUGAAAGGAGGUUGUGGUGAGUUGGGUGUCAGUCUCUUACCCCAAGUCACAGUGAUGGGACAAGAGGAAAUGACCUCAAGUUGUGCUUGGACAGGUUCAGACUGGGUAUUAGGAAAAAAAUUUUUACUGGUGGAGUGGUGAAGCACUGGCAGAGGCUGCCCAAGUGGAAUCUCCAUCCCUGGAGAGGUUCAAAACCCGUUUGUUCAUGGCACCUUGAAACAUGAUUCUGUUAGGCUGACGGUUGGACUGCAUGAUCUCAGAGGUCUUUUACAACUUUAAUGAUUCUAUGAUUCUUUACUUCAUUUUUUGUUAAAGUUUUUUCAAACAGUAGAGAGACCCCGUGAGAUUCUGCUGUGUUGUUCCAAAAUGUUCUUCAGCCGUAGCUUUCUGUGCUUCAUGAAUGCCUCUCACUGAAGCGGGGCUGCUCCGAAACCUGCUGCCCAGGAGCUGGGGGCUCUGGAAAACUGGGAAAAGAGCUGACCCAACUUGUUUCCCUUCUCCUACUAACAGUCUGCUGUCAGACACAGCCUAGACACCACAGAACCCCUUCAGAAAGACCUUGUCCACCCGAUGUCACAUGCAAGAGCAAGAUACAGAGGUUUGAACACGUACCCGUACAGAGUCUGGAGCAGAGCUUAUUCCUGAGUGGGGACUUGCUCAGCCUUUUGGCCCCCUCUGAACUGCGUCGAGGCCCUGCUCUUUGAGGAGCUGCGUCACCAACCCAUGCUGUGAAAACAGGUCUUGUCCUCAGCGUUGCGAUGUGAAUCUGUGUGUACAAGCGCGUGGUGCAGCACUGUCGGCAGCACCCAUAGCCUCCUGGAAGGGUUCCAUGGAGGAGAAUUCACUGAAGCUGGUGGGAGCAGCCUAGCAAAAGGACUUUAUAUCCAGUGACGCAUGUUGUACGCGACCCUGUUCUGAAAUCCCCUUUCAAGCCUUCACUGUUUGAGCACGCCCAGAAAAUCUCUGUCAAGCGAUAUUAGCAAGAGCGGAAUUAAAUCUUAGAGGAUUUAGACGAGCAGCUUUGGCUACGGAGUAAAUCAGGAAAUACCCUGCUCGUUAAAAAUCCAGGUGCAUCUUCAGGAUGGCUGGGGGCAGGGGAGGCUGCAGAUACAACAACUGUUUUCCCUUGGACUUUGCUGUAGUUUGGAAUGUUGAGCUCCCACAGCCUUAAAGCUGGGCUUGCUGUAUAUCCUGGAAUGUGGGAGGUGGUUAUGUGAAACCUCAGGUAGAUUCCUUCACCUGCUGUGACUGCAGUAACUGGACUUUGACAUAUCUUUUGGAAGGUCAGAAACUGGAGCAUUUGGGGAAGCAGAUAUCUUUCUCGAGUAGUAGUCUUCUAUUUUAAUGUGAUUUAGUCUGAGACUCAUUCUUGACAGUAAAUGAGCAAGGGCAGUGAGCAACCUUUCUCGUAACGUCUAUAGGGAGACACUCUUAAAUGGUGGAAGCAAUAAACAGCCUGACCCAUCCUUCCUGUAUCAGAGGUGCUGACUUUGUUCAGCUGCAGAACCCUCGUUGAGAGAGGGCUGAGGAAUAAAAUGGUGGAGUAGUUUGUCACUGGCUCACAUAGCUUGCACCCUGUAUCUGUGCUUCUCCUACUA